rnacentral:lncRNA from 1 species
CUAGUCUCUCAUAGAAACUUCUGGCCUCUGGACACUGUGGGAGCAACUUUUCCUUUAUUAGACUGUCUCCUCUUUAACUGUACCUAGAAGAUACUUUAGCACAGCAAGCAUCUCUUUUAUGCUUACAUUAUGCAGUUAUGCAGACUUGGUGUACGUCCUUCAAGGACAGUCUAAGAAUCUUUGAUUCUAUUUCUGCUGGAUACAUUGUUGCAGAGAUGAGAUAGACCAGUGCAAUGGACCUCAUAACCACAUACAAUCUAGUUUUAUGGGGAAACUCCUUGUAUAAAAGAAUAUUGCAGCAUGACUGGGAAGCCUGUCCUUCAUUACUUCAAUUGAAGAAGAAGAAUGGAGUCCAUCCGGUGGCUCCUGGCAGCAGCUGGAGUAGAGUUUGAGGAAGAACUUUUUGAAACCCAUGAAGAGUUUGAGAAGUUAAUCCAAGGUGGAACCCUGAUGUACGAGCAAGUGCCCAUGGUGGAAAUCGAUGGAAUGACUUUGGUGCAGACCAGUGCCAUCUUAAGAUAUGUAGCUGCAAAAUAUGACUUGUAUGGAAGGAACCUGGAGGAACAAGCCUGAGAAGGAGAUGAACCUUGAAUACAUCCUCCACCGAGCUACAACAAGAUUCUUCCCCGUUUAUGAGAAGGCCCUGAGAGACCACGGGCAAGACUUUCUUGUGGGCAAUCGGCUGAGCUUGGCUGAUGUCCAGCUCCUUGAAGUCAUCUUAAUGGCUGAAGAAUGCAAAGCCAGUGUUCUCUCGGGUUUCCCUCUGCUACAGGACUUCAAGGUGAGAACCAGCCAAAUUCCUACAAUUAACAGCUUCCUCCAACCUGGAAGCCAGAGGAAGCCUCCUUUGGAGGAGCGAUCCAUUGGGACUGCAAAGGACAUAUUCAAAUUUGAAUGAGGACUGUUUCUUAAAAACAUGAGCAAUAUAGUAGCUGAGUAUUAACAGCUACAGAGGCUGGAGUUACUCAGUAAGUAUACUGAGUAACUUGACACUGCAUUCAUAAAAAGACACUCACUAAGUAUAUGGCCAGAGAAAUAUCCUGAAGUUAGUAAUAAAUGUUAGGAAUCUUAGUAUGUUAGCAAUGUUAGAAUGUUAGUAAUGGAAAUAUUAAAUGUGUAAGAGAAAAACUACUAGAAGCUUAUCAAUAAACUACAAGAACCAACUCUUGUUUGAAGUAAGACAGGCUACCAAGACAGAAUUCAGAAAAUCCAAGGAGCCCUCGGCCUUCUGUAUGAUCCUAGAAUAAACUUGUAUGUAGCAAGUGAAA